rnacentral:lncRNA from 1 species
GUUGCCUCCAUGUGCAUAUAGGUGGCUUCCUGGGCUAUAAUCGUGCUUGCAUAUGCUUUUUCCCAUGCUGGUGUGCUCUGGGUGCAGGUACCCCCUUGCCCACAGACGUGCCCUCCUUGACCACCUGAAAUGUACUUUUUUCGCAUGUCUAGUAGCACAUCAUUUGUGCAAGUGAUUAAAACACUAAUUAAUUUUCCUAUUGACAUACACAGUCAGGACCUUUUAAUUACUUUAUAGACGUGUCUUUAUUUCUUUAAUUAUAUUGUUGCUAAGGUGGUUAAGAUCUUCCUGUUGCUAAAUGAGUUGUUGAUAUAUAAGGAGUCUGUCUUUAAGAUGAGCUUCAUGAUAUCUUAUAUCACACUUUUGAUUCAAAGAUUGUAUAUGAUGCAUUUCAAUGACUCACCACAGUUCUUCUUAGUAAGGCCACCAUUGCUCACAUGGUAGCGAACUCCUUUUAAUUGAGCCAUUGAUAUUGAGUUUGAACUAUGCUGAAUGUAGAGAUUUUCACCCUACAUUCAGAAAUCUGGUAUGUUCUAUGAUGUGGAAUCCAAGAUCAACAAACAAAAUUAGACACACACAAUUUUAUUCAAGACAUCGAAGGAAUUUGAUCUUAUGAAAAUCCUCCCUACUUAACCAUCUAUCAAGAGUGAUAGAAACUAAGAUAAUUGGAAAAUGGAGGAUUAACAUAAGAAUAGCAAAAUACCACAAGAAAUUAUCUUGAUAAGUAGAUCCACUCCUUACUCAACAAGAAGGAUGGAGAUAACUCUCUUUAAUAAGACUCACAAUAUU